rnacentral:sRNA from 1 species
GUUUAGCCCUGAUUGAAAUGGCAUCCUUUUUAUUUUUCAUAAAAAGAUACAGUGGAAAGCAGGAAAUAGC